rnacentral:rRNA from 1 species
AUGAGGACAAGCUGCUUCUGCAGGUGGACGGGCCCUCAAGGCUGCUCUGCCUAUUCCUCCUGCUACCCCCACAUGUGCGAACACAAAGCCGUCGAUGCAUUGAGGGCUCAAUGUCGUCUCCGCCGGCUGAGCGGCAAGCCGGUGUUGGGCCUGCACACCGUCUAUCAGCACCCUCCCGUGUCUCCAUUCACGGAUCUGCAGUUGAGCAUAAUAGUUUAUAGCCUGAUAGGCUUGGACAUAAUUGUCUACAUGUACUGCUCAGUAGGCGACAUCCUUUGGGAAAUUGAGGAUGUCCUCGUGCAUUUUCUAAAUACAAUUGUGGCAGAUCUGAGGAAGGAGGGGAGGAAUAAUCUCGCGGGAGAGUUCGGUGUAGUGGAAGAAGAACAAGAUAUUAUUUAUUUCUUGUGA